rnacentral:rRNA from 1 species
AUGGCUCAGGACGAACGCUGGCGGCACGCUUAACACAUGCAAGUCGAACGGAGUUAUCGAGAGCUUGCUUUGAUAACUUAGUGGCGGACGGGUGAGUAACACGUGAGCAAUCUGCCCUUAAGAGGGGGAUAGCAGUUGGAAACGACUGAUAAUACCGCAUAAGAUAGUAGUACCGCAUGGUACAGCUAUAAAAGAUUUAUCGCUUAAGGAUGAGCUCGCGUCUGAUUAGCUAGUUGGCGAGGUAACGGCUCACCAAGGCAACGAUCAGUAGCCGGACUGAGAGGUUGGACGGCCACAUUGGGACUGAGACACGGCCCAGACUCCUACGGGAGGCAGCAGUGGGGAAUAUUGCACAAUGGAGGAAACUCUGAUGCCAGCGAUGCCGCGUGAGGGAAGAAGAUUUUAGGAUUGUAAACCUCUGUUGACAGGGACGAUAAUGACGGUACCUGUUGAGGAAGCUCCGGCUAACUACGUGCCAGCCGCAGC